rnacentral:rRNA from 1 species
CUACGUGCCAGCAGCCGCGGUAAUACGUAGGUCCCGAGCGUUGUCCGGAUUUAUUGGGCGUAAAGCGAGCGCAGGCGGUUAGAUAAGUCUGAAGUUAAAGGCUGUGGCUUAACCAUAGUACGCUUUGGAAACUGUUUAACUUGAGUGCAAGAGGGGAGAGUGGAAUUCCAUGUGUAGCGGUGAAAUGCGUAGAUAUAUGGAGGAACACCGGUGGCGAAAGCGGCUCUCUGGCUUGUAACUGACGCUGAGGCUCGAAAGCGUGGGGAGCAAACAGGAUUAGAUACCCUGGUAGUCCACGCCGUAAACGAUGAGUGCUAGGUGUUAGACCCUUUCCGGGGUUUAGUGCCGCAGCUAACGCAUUAAGCACUCCGCCUGGGGAGUACGACCGCAAGGUUGAAACUCAAAGG